AACGAACGCUGGCGGCAGGCCUAACACAUGCAAGUCGAACGGUGUAGCAAUACACAGUGGCGCACGGGUGAGUAACGCGUGGGAAUCUGCCCAUUAGUACGGAAUAACAGUUGGAAACGACUGCUAAUACCGUAUACGCCCUUCGGGGAAGGAUUAUCGCUAAUGGAUGAGCCCGCGUAAGAUUAGGUAGUUGGUGGGUAAUGGCCUACCAAGCCUACGAUCUUUAGCUGGUCUGAGAGGAUGGCCAGCCACACUGGAACUGAGACACGGUCCAGACUCCUACGGGAGGCAGCAGUGGGGAAUAUUGGACAAUA
rnacentral:rRNA from 1 species